rnacentral:rRNA from 1 species
CUACGGGAGGCAGCAGUGGGGAAUCUUGGACAAUGGGCGCAAGCCUGAUCCAGCCAUGCCGCGUGAGUGAUGAAGGCCCUAGGGUCGUAAAGCUCUUUCGCCAGGGAUGAUAAUGACAGUACCUGGUAAAGAAACCCCGGCUAACUCCGUGCCAGCAGCCGCGGUAAUACGGAGGGGGUUAGCGUUGUUCGGAAUUACUGGGCGUAAAGCGCACGUAGGCGGACUGGAAAGUUGGGGGUGAAAUCCCGGGGCUCAACCCCGGAACUGCCUCCAAAACUAUCAGUCUAGAGUUCGAGAGAGGUGAGUGGAAUUCCGAGUGUAGAGGUGAAAUUCGUAGAUAUUCGGAGGAACACCAGUGGCGAAGGCGGCUCACUGGCUCGAUACUGACGCUGAGGUGCGAAAGUGUGGGGAGCAAACAGGAUUAGAUACCCUGGUAGUCCACACCGUAAACGAUGAAUGCCAGUCGUCGGGUAGCAUGCUAUUCGGUGACACACCUAACGCGUU